rnacentral:rRNA from 1 species
UGGGUAACCUGCCCAUCAGAAGGGGAUAACACUUGGAAACAGGUGCUAAUACCGUAUAACAAUCGAAACCGCAUGGUUUUGAUUUGAAAGGCGCUUUCGGGUGUCGCUGAUGGAUGGACCCGCGGUGCAUUAGCUAGUUGGUGAGGUAACGGCUCACCAAGGCGACGAUGCAUAGCCGACCUGAGAGGGUGAUCGGCCACAUUGGGACUGAGACACGGCCCAAACUCCUACGGGAGGCAGCAGUAGGGAAUCUUCGGCAAUGGACGAAAGUCUGACCGAGCAACGCCGCGUGAGUGAAGAAGGUUUUCGGAUCGUAAAACUCUGUUGUUAGAGAAGAACAAGGAUGAGAGUAACUGUUCAUCCCUUGACGGUAUCUAACCAGAAAGCCACGGCUAACUACGUGCCAGCAGCCGCGGUAAUACGUAGGUGGCAAGCGUUGUCCGGAUUUAUUGGGCGUAAAGCGAGCGCAGGCGGUUUCUUAAGUCUGAUGUGAAAGCCCCCGGCUCAACCGGGGAGGGUCAUUGGAAACUGGGAGACUUGAGUGCAGAAGAGGAGAGUGGAAUUCCAUGUGUAGCGGUGAAAUGCGUAGAUAUAUGGAGGAACACCAGUGGCGAAGGCGGCUCUCUGGUCUGUAACUGACGCUGAGGCUCGAAAGCGUGGGGAGCAAACAGGAUUAGAUACCCUGGUAGUCCACGCCGUAAACGAUGAGUGCUAAGUGUUGGAGGGUUUCCGCCCUUCAGUGCUGCAGCUAACGCAUUAAGCACUCCGCCUGGGGAGUACGACCGCAAGGUUGAAACUCAAAGGAAUUGACGGGGGCCCGCACAAGCGGUGGAGCAUGUGGUUUAAUUCGAAGCAACGCGAAGAACCUUACCAGGUCUUGACAUCCUUUGACCACUCUAGAGAUAGAGCUUCCCCUUCGGGGGCAAAGUGACAGGUGGUGCAUGGUUGUCGUCAGCUCGUGUCGUGAGAUGUUGGGUUAAGUCCCGCAACGAGCGCAACCCUUAUUGUUAGUUGCCAUCAUUUAGUUGGGCACUCUAGCAAGACUGCCGGUGACAAACCGGAGGAAGGUGGGGAUGACGUCAAAUCAUCAUGCCCCUUAUGACCUGGGCUACACACGUGCUACAAUGGGAAGUACAACGAGUCGCAAAGUCGCGAGGCUAAGCUAAUCUCUUAAAGCUUCUCUCAGUUCGGAUUGUAGGCUGCAACUCGCCUACAUGAAGCCGGAAUCGCUAGUAAUCGCGGAUCAGCACG